GAGGUACGUACACAGUGGCCUGGGGCUGUUAUGAAUGCAUCCAAUAAAACAGAACAUGUUGAUAUCUGGAGCAAAUUAAGAAAUAAUGUCAAACGUAGUGCUCUGGUGAAUUGGGACAGGUAUCAUCCACAGUAUUUGUCUGUACAGUAGCUGGUUGGUAGAGAGGUAGUGCUCUGGUGAAUUGGGACAGGUAUACUACACAGUAUUUGUCUGUACAGUAGCUGGUUGGUAGAGAGGUAGGGUUCUGGUGAAUUGGGACAGGUAUAAUCCACAGUAUUUCUCUGUACAGUAGCUGGUUGGUAGAGAGGUAGUGCUCUGGUGAAUUGGGACAAGUCGCUCUGUUUCUGCCCCAUCAGGGCCUAAUACAUUAGUCAUGGCUGUGUGUCCUAGAGGCCAUUCCUCAUGGUGUAAUUACCAUCCUGCCUGUUAUAUUACUAUGUCAGCUAUUUACUUAAAACCUUAAUCGAUAUAAAAAAAUAAAGAAGACUUUUUAUGGCUGAAGCUAAAUGGGCUCUGACAGCACAGGAGAACAACAGCCAUUACUGCCACAGACAGAAACAACAUAUGGAACAGACAAACUGUCAUCUAGACUAAUAUUGAAAACAAGAUGACAUACAGCAAGGUCUACAAAUAUACUGCUGAUCUGACUCAGACACACACACACACACACACACACACACACACUUACCUGUUGCAGGCAUCCUGGGAAAGAGGGCUGGACUGUGUGACUUUCUGAUCCCUGACCCUGAGAGCACCCGUGGUGUCUGCUGGGAGCUGUAGUUUGUCAGGGUAUCAGAGGAGUGUGGUGGUGGAUCACUCAUCAGGGAAGGAGAAGGAGAGGGGUGGGGUGACAUGGCUGACUGGGUGGAUAGGGGUUCGUCUUGUGAUGGAAUCGACAUGUUCCUAGAGGACAGAGCAUCUGGAGGUGAUGGUGUUGAUGGCGACAUGGUGGAUAACGGUUUUGGAGGUGACCUGUAGGACACAGGGCUUCCUGGUGACACGGUAGAGAGAGGGUUCCUGGGUGACCUGCUGGAUAAUUGUUUCCUAGGUGACUGAGAGUAUGGCAAGGUGGACGAUAAGGGUUCUGAUGGUGAUGGCGAUGACUGAGAUCUCAGGGAGAGAGGUGACAGAGGUGACAACCUGUCAGGCAGGUGUUUGGGAGGUGAGGGGGGGUGAAUAAACCUGGAGGCCUGGGGAGGUAACAGAGGUGACAACCUGUCAGGCAGGUGUUUGGGAGGUGAGGGGGGGUGAAUAAACCUGGAGGCCUGGGGAGGUAACAGAGGUGACAACCUGUCAGGCAGGUGUUUGGGAGGUGAGGGGGGGUGAAUAAACCUGGAGGCCCGGGGAGGUAACAGAGGUGACUCCGGCUCUGUGGGGCUGGAAGGUGAGAGAGUGAAUGUGGACCUGAGGGAGUGCAGAGUGGGUGGAGCGGGAGACAGAGAGGAUGGGGGCCCUGCAGAUAAGAGGUCUGGGUUGGGUGGAGCAGGAGACAGAGAGGAUGGGGGCCCUGCAGAUAAGAGGUCUGGGUUGGGUGUAGAGGGAGAAGGGCUGGGGGGUGAGGGGUCUACAGAUAAGAGGUCUGGGUUGGGUGUAGAGGGAGAAGGGCUGGGGGAUGAGGGGUCUACAGAUAAGAGGUCUGGGUUGGGUGUAGAGGGAGAAGGGCUGGGGGUGAGGGGUCUACAGUUGACUGAUGGAGGUUGUACGAGCGGUCAGUUCGUGUGGACUUGGCUGGUGUCUUGGUUGACGACCCAGGGGUCUUUGGUCCUCUGGGCUGUGGUGACCCAGUGGUGAACCUUGGUGACCGUACACUAGUGUGGUCAGGUUGUGGUAUCUGAGUGGUGCCCACUUUAGAGACCAACGGAGGGCGAGAAGACCAGGUCACUGGAGACUCAGACAACAUGGCUCCCUGGGACAAUGCAUUGUGGGACAGGUUAGGACCUCCAAUUACAUUGACUUCCUCUUGCCUGUGAUAGAUAGAUAGAUAGAUAGAUAGAUAGAUAGAUAGAUAGAUAGAUAGAUAGAUAGAUAGAUAGAUAGAUA
rnacentral:lncRNA from 1 species